AAUCUUCCACAAUGGACGAAAGUCUGAUGGAGCAACGCCGCGUGAGUGAAGAAGGUUUUCGGAUCGUAAAACUCUGUUGUGGGAGAAGAACGUAUUUGAUAGUAACUGAUCAGGUAGUGACGGUAUCCAACCAGAAAGCCAUGGCUAACUACGUGCCAUCAGCCGCGGUAAUACGUAGGUGGCAAGCGUUGUCGGAUUUAUUGGGCGGAAAGCGAGGGCGUGCGGUUUCUUAGUUCUGAUAUGAAAGCCUUCGGCUCAACCGAAGAAGUGCAUCGGAAGCUAGGAAACUUGAGUGCAGAAGAGGACAGUGGAACUCCAUGUGUAGCGGUGAAAUGCGUAGAUAUAUGGAAGAACACCAGUGGCGAAGGCGGCUGUCUGGUCUGUAACUGACGCUGAGGCUCGAAAGCAUGGGUAGCAAACA
rnacentral:rRNA from 1 species